UGCCUCAGUAACGGCGAGUGAAGCGGCAACAGCUCAAAUUUGAAAUCUGGCCUCUUUGGGGUCCGAGUUGUAAUUUGUAGAGGAUGUUUCGGGCACGGUCCCGGGCUUAAAUUUCUUGGAACAGAAUGUCAGAGAGGGUGAGAGUCCCGUCUGGAGCCCGCGGCACGGCCUAUGUGAAACUCCUUCGACGAGUCGAGUUGUUUGGGAAUGCAGCUCUAAAUGGGUGGUAAAUUUCAUCUAAAGCUAAAUAUUGGCCAGAGACCGAUAGCGCACAAGUAGAGUGAUCGAAAGAUGAAAAGCACUUUGAAAAGAGAGUUAAACAGUAUGUGAAAUUGUUGAAAGGGAAGCGCUGGCAACCAGACUUGUCUGUCGUGGCUCCCCCUCGCUUCUGCUUGGGUUACUCCACGGCGUGCAGGCCAACAUCGGUUUCGGGGGCCGGUUAAAGGCCCUGGGAAUGUACCUACUCCUCGGGGUAGACUUAUAGCCCAGGGUGUCAUGCGGCCUCCCGGGACCGAGGAACGCGCUUCGGCUCGGAUGUUGGCGUAAUGGUUGUCAGCGACCCGUCUUGAAACACGGACCAAGGAGUCUAACAUCUAUGCGAGUGUUAGGGUGUC
rnacentral:rRNA from 1 species